GGGGGGGUCACCUGUGUCACCUCAGCCUUCCAGAUCACUCCCCUUUCCUCCCCCUCCCCUGCUUUCCAUGUCAUCUUCUUGGUUGCUCUACUUUCUUUUCAGUUGCUCAGGUGCCACUCUGAGCCUUGGAAAGUACAUAGUGCUCCUUCAGCUCUUAUUUCAAGGGGAGGAGGGCAGUAGCGCCACUUGCCACAUCGCGAUGAAGGCAGCAAUGACAGGGGCCUCAGGGUCUUCGUUGUCACCCUUGUGCAAAUAGGCGCUACACUGGUGACUCCAGAAGCUGGGCUCUCAGCAACGUUGUAGUGUUGUGUCAGCUUAUACCUCUUACACCUUGUCCAGUGUCCUCCAUGUAGGAAAACAGGUGAGAGAUUUUUAAACACUUGAAUGACAUGCUAAAGGAGGGCAUGUUUUUUACUUGCUGCUAUCGUAACGCGGGAGCUUUCUAAAUGUGCCAUGUAUAAGUUACUUUUUGGAGGAUAUCUGUACUUUUAAAACUUAUGCAAAAGGACAUUGGUGAAACAAAGUGUGAAUGACGGGUGGGCGUUUGGAAGUGUGUAGACAGAAUCACAAGCUUGCUUUUCGAGCAGCUUGAUGGAGCAAAACCUGUUACAAAAUAAAAUAUCGUUGACAGGUUGGAGAUACUGCCAUCUCUUCUCUAUUAGAGGGCUUAAAUAUGAAAUUAGCACUGUGCAUUUGGAUUAUCUGCUUAUCUUUCACUUUAGUUCUAAUAGCGUAGAAAUGCCAAGUAUCUAGAAAGAUCUAGAAUUUGCAACUUCUCUUUUAAGUUUUAUUUUCGGUAAGGGAUUUCUGGGUAUUCAAUAUAGCAAAACCUUCUGGGUGGUAAUACAGCACUGCCUUUAGAGAAGAACAGUAUCUAGGCUGGUGUGAGAAAUCUUGCUCCUCUGUCACAGCAAAAAAGCAGAAGAUAGUUCUUGCUGUUACUGGUAGCAGGAGCAGCAUUAAAAUGGAUUCCAGUUAUGUAAUUAAGUAUGUAAAUUUAGUUGACCUUCUUUUGCAUAAUUAUGUAGCUCAGCUGCUUACAAUGCAUAUUGAUUUAGAACACUAGGGUAAUGUAAACCUACUGGAAUAGCAUUUCGCAGAUCACACAAAAUCUCAAAGCAGAGCAAGUAGCUUGUGUUCCUAACGGCUCAGGUUUUAUUUAAAGGCUUUUCUUUCUGGAAUCAUAUCAUGGGAUACUUUAAUUUCUGAGGAUGUAUCUGUUUAAAUCUUAGAUUGACACUUUGGUUCCUUUUCUUUUUUAAUGAAUGGAAUAUUUAAAGCAAGUAUUUGAAAACCAUUUAGUGGAGUCGCUUCCUACACAGUUUAAUUGAAAGUUUUUUUCUUUGGUCGUUUGUCACUCUUUUUUUUUCUAGUGUGUUUUUCUUUCAGGUAUUUUGGUACACUUGGGUUGACUGGAACUUGAACUCGAGGAUGGGCAAAUGGAAUAGACACACUAGUCAGUCUUAGUCCACGCUAAGUGAUGAAGCUGCCUGGGGAACACCACAUCUAGAACCUAUGCUGGUGGUCCAGUGUGUGGAUAAUGUCAUUUCAUAGUUUAGUCACUAGGUGGCAAUAGACCUAGUUGUAUCUGGGUGAAGCUUCCUGUUCUGCUCUUGUUCUAGAGCACGGGUGCCAAACACAAGGCCCGCGGGCCGAAUCUGGCCCGCCAGACCUCGUCAUGUGGCCCGUGUAGCCGCCGCCGGCCGCCAGCCUUCACCUUUUAGUCUCGCUUUUUUUUUUUUUUGGACACAAGAAAGCCACCUCUUCAGCGCAUGUGCGGCAGCCUACAAGCCAGAGAACGUCUGCCCUCUAGCGGCGCCGGCCGUUCUACACAGGAAACCUCCACUUUACAUGCAUUCAGGAAACCUCCACUUGUUUUUAUAUUGAGCGCGUGCCAUCCUGUGAUGUGACAGAUCCAACGGCUGCCUGAACCCUUCUCUCCUGUACUGUGAGUCCUACAGAUACAACCGGCCCUUUGAGGGUGACCAAACUGCUGAUGCGGCCCCCGAUGAAUUUGAGUUUGACACCCCUGUUCUAGAGAAACAAUAACUUUGCUUGCCUAGUUUCUUGACUGGUGCAAGCUUCUCCGCAAGAUCGUUGCUAUGCUAGCAUGAUUGUUUCUAUUAUGUCUGUGAGGUUAGGAUUUGCUAAGUAAAGUGUCUCAGAAUACUCUGGAAUUUAUGAGAUUGUACAGCAUGAGAUUUAGGGUGGUGCGGGUGUUUCUCCAGCACAGGGUGCAAAGCCAAGGGGACGCAGAAGAGCCAUAAUUGACAAGAUCCAUUUGGGGACACUAGAUUUUGGCCCUACCGCAGGGUACCAUAUUACGAAAGAUUACCAAAGUCGAUGGCUCGUGAGAAGAAAGAGAAUGGUGAUUGACACUGUGUACUGAUUUAUAAAUAAUGUCAUGUGCAAUAGAUACCUAUUUCUGGCUUAAAAUUGCAUGUAGUAAUAGGAUACCCAAAAUGUUAAUGCUUUCUUCAAGACUAAGGCAGAAUUAUAAAGCAUUUAUCUUGGAAAUAGAAUCUACAUAUCAACAUAACCAGCACACAUAGGAGUUAGAUAAAAUAUAAUUGGACCUGGAGUGUGUAAUGAACAUAAAUUUCUGAUUUGUUCUAUUUUGUAUCUUUCAUAUUUUGGUCUUAGUGCCCAGAACAUGUCAGGUAGGUAUAAAGAAUAGGCAAGAUUCUAUUUAAAAUAUAUAGAAACACAAAGGAAUAUGAACCUCCAUUCCAACUUGCAACAACAAAUGACAGUGCCACCUAGUGACACAAUCAUUAUUAUUAUUAUUAAUAAUAAUAAUGAUGAAUUCAUAUACUGCCCUAUACCCGGGGAUCUCAGGGCAGUUCACAAAAUAAAAUCAAGAUAUUAAACCAC